ensembl:ncRNA ZC308.6 ncRNA
UAUCCGCUCAGAUUGGCGGCGAGAAAACAAAGGAAUGCAAGAAUGAAACUGUUUGUUGCGUUGUGUAUGCGUGCCUGCCAUUCAUCGCACAUUGCCAAUCGCCCACAAUCCCAAAACAGUUGAAAACACAACACAAAAAAAACGAAA